AAUCAUUGAACGAGCCUACCUAAGACCUCUGUAGAAAGACGUCUUUUAGUAUAGAUCGCUUGUAGAUCAUCGCCAGAAGGACUUCCAGUACGACUCGAGGAAAUAACGUUAGCACGAUCGUCAUCCUCGUGAGUACCCUUAUUGGUAUCUGUGAUCACCUACCUGGAAGUGCAGUAUGAUGGUCCAAAUCAGGCCAAGUGUCAAUUUAGGAUUGCCAUCAACGAUAUCCUCGGCACAUUAAAUGAUUUUUAACACUCACAAGAUGCUCCCCUGAGAGUACUUCCAACAAGGAGAUAAGGUUGUGCCCGUCCCGCAGGUCCUCGAACAGGUCUCCGACAUGUCUGCUGGCCUAAAACAGAUAAAAAU